rnacentral:rRNA from 1 species
ACUCGAGGAAGAAGCCCCGGCUAACUCCGAGCAAGCAGCCGCAAUAAGUCAGGGGGAAAAUGUUUUUCGGAAUGAUUGGGCAUAAAGGGCACGUAGGCGGUGAAUCUGUGCUGCAUGUCUAUCGUCAGCUCGUGCCAUGAGAUAUUUGGUCAAAUCCUUUUACGAGAUAAACCCUCAUUUUAUGUUGAUGAGACAUGUGGCUAAGGAAAAAAUCUUUGCAACCAAAGUGAUCUCAGGAGACGAGUGAUGCCCCAGCUACAAAUUGAGUGCCAGCACCUAGCUGUACUGUUAGUAAGAAGGUAGCCGGCAUCUUUCGAAGCACUUUCUAUUUCUAGUUAACGUUAUUUUUUUAUUGCAGGUAGCGCGCUUGACUAAUAAUAUAGAAAGGGCCUUUCUCACUUGUUUAGUAAUGUCAAGUUUUUUGGUCUUAUCUUGCAGGUGACGACGACGUCGAGUUGACGGCAGAUAAAGACUCGGCAUUCACGAUAGCCAACCGAUAGUGUGGUACGUAGUUGGUUUAGUAUGCCCCACCCAAACAAAUGGAUUUGAAACAAACAAAAACGUGUGUGCCGCACUCACAAAGGACUUCCAGUGAUAUACUGGAGGACGGUGGGGAUGACGUCAAGUCUGCAUGGCCCUUAUGGGCUGGGCCACACACAUGAUACAAUGGCAAUUACGAUGGGAACGAUGAUUUUAAGGCGGAGCAAAUGCAAAAAGAUUGCUUCAGUUAGGAUUGUUCUCUGCAACUCGGGAACAUGAAGGUUGAAUCGCUAGUAAUUGCAGAUCAGCAUGCCGCGGUGAAUAUGUACC